ACUAUCGUGAGGUAGCGGGGAGAGGAAGAGAUAGCGAAAUCGUGGCUCUACGAACAGGAACGUGAUAGCAAGGCGUAUAUAGCGGAUAAGGAGGCUUCAAACUCUAAAGUCCAAAAAGGUAGUCGUAACCUAUAUGUGUAAAUCACGAGAGUAAUUGAAUUCGGACUAAGGUUUGUGUG
rnacentral:ncRNA from 1 species